UCCAAGCAUUUCAACAUAGAUAUCAGCAAUCAAUCAACAAGACUAAUGAAAUGGGGAAAAGGAAGACAUUAGAACUGCUAAAGUUUUCCCUAGAUACAGAUCUAGGAUCAGCUUCCCCUCCCCAAACCUAACAAGGACCAUUCGCGGGGGGAAUUCAAACCUGAUCCAAAGCCAGGGUCUAUUUGGGGAACUUGUCCCCUCCCCCACAACACGACACGUGGAUGCGGCUUCCUCAGUUCACCAUGCACAUAAAGAAAACAGCAGUGUAUUUCAGCUGCAAGCCUGGGAAAGAACUGAGAAAACGUACUAAAGAGUCAAGACAGACACCAGAAAGAGGCCCAAGAAGACUUGGACGCAGGAACAGAGGACAGCGAGGGAUGUUCAGAACUCACUCAGUCGGUUUGGAGAAUGACUUCUCAACCCAAGACUGAGAGCAGCUGUGAGAAAGCAUCAGUUUGGAUGCAUUUGGGAAAAUGUAAAGUGCUAAAGAAGGUUCCCGGCAAAGAGGAUUGCCUGUUAUGGGUCAGAGCCAGCUCUCACAAACAGAACAUGGAAAGACAUGAAAACCUGGUGCACAACAAAAUGCAAACAGAAAAGGCUCUCCGCAGCCGGUAAAAGGCUAGCAUGCCACGAAGAUGAAGUUCACACAGGUGAAUGGAAGAGUUGUAAAAGACAAAAAGCUUUUUAGACAUAGCUCCAAAAUGCAGGUGCUAGUUGAGCUAGUUCUGUUUUGUGGUGGAAAACUUAGUGUGUCGAGCAUAAUACGUCAACCCUGUUACCAAUAGAUAAAAAGGCUAGACAUUUUUUUGCAAUUUCAUUUUUUGUCUGAAACGUCCAAUUCAAAAGCUUCCAUUCCCCUUGUCACAAGGAAUUUAUGCAUGAUUUAAUAUGAAACCCUGCCUCCCGAGUGGCGCAAUGGUCUUAGGCACUGCAUCGCAUUUGCUAGCUGUGCCACUAUAGAUCCUGGUUCUAGUCCAGGAGACCCAUGGGUUGGCGCACAAUUGUCCCAGCGUCGUCCUGGUUAGGUUUGUCUGGCAGGGAUGUCCUUGUCCCAUUGCGCUCUAGCAACCCCUGUGGCGGGCCGGGCGCAUGCAUGCUGACACGGUCGCCAGACAAAGGCUAGCAUGCCACGAAGAUGAAGUUCACACAGGUGAAUGGUGUACGGUGUUUCCUCCGACACAUUGGUGUGGCUGGCUUCCGGGUUAAACGGGAAUUGUGUCAGGAAGCAGUGCAGCUUGGCAGGGUCGUGUUUCGGAGGACGCAUGGCUCUCUACCUUCGCCUCUCCCGAGUCCGUAGGGAGUGUGCAGCAAUGAGACAAGACUGUAACUACUAAUUGGAUACCAUGAAAAUUGGGGAGAUAAAGGGGUUAAAAGAAAAAAAUGUACAGGAAAAUAUAAUAUAAUGUUAUGGUCAGCCUUUAAUUAAUAGGCACUUAUUGUAGUCAUUUUUUAAAUGUAAUCUCUUGAGAUGGUAAACCAUUUUCUAUUUUUGUUUUUAUUCAUUUGGAUACGGUCUUUAUUUUAUUUCUUUAUUUCACCUUUAUUUAACCAGGCAGGAAAGUUGAUAACAAGUUCUCAUUUACAAUUGUGACCUGGCCAAGAUAAAGCAAAACAGUUUGACACGUACAACGACACAGAGUUACACAUGGAGUAAAACAAACAUACAGUCAAUAAUACAGUAUAAACACGUCUAUAUACGAUGUGAGCAAAUGAGGUGAGAUAAGGGAGGUAAAGGCAAAAAAAGGCCAUGGUGGCAAAGUAAAUACAAUAUAGCAAGUAAAACACUGGAAUGGUAGAUGUGCAGUGGAAGAAUGUGCAAAGUAGAAAUACAAAUAAUGGGGUGCAAAGGAGCAAAAUAAAUAAAUAAAAUAAAUACAGUAGGGAAAGAGGUAGUUUUUUGGGCUAAAUUAUAGGUGGGCUAUGUACAGGUGUAGUAAUCUGUGAGCUGCUCUGACAGUUGGUGCUUAAAGCUAGUGAGGGAGAUAUGCGUUUCCAGUUUCAGAGAUUUUUGUAGUUCGUUCCAGUCAUUGGCAGCAGAGAACUGGAAGGAGAGGCGGCCAAAGAAAGAAUUGGUUUUGGGGGUGACUAGAGAGAUUUUCCUGCUGGAGCGUGUGCUACAGGUGGGUGAUGCUAUGGUGACCAGCGAGCUGAGAUAAGGGGGACUUUACCUAGCAGGGUCUUGUAGAUGACAUGGAGCCAGUGGGUUUGGCGACGAGUAUGAAGCGAGGGCCAGUCAACGAGAAGAGCGUACAGGUCGCAAUGGUGGGUAGUAUAUGGGGCUUUGGUGACAAAACGGAUGGCACUGUGAUAACACUGCAUCCAAUUUGUUAGGUAGGGUAUUGGCUAUUUUGUAAAUGACAUCGCCGAAGUCGAGGAUUGGUAGGAUGGUCAGUUUUACAAGAGUAUGUUUGGCAGCAUGAGUGAAGGAUGCUUUGUUGCAAAAUAGGAAGCCAAUUCUAGAUUUAAAUUUGGAUUGGAGAUGUUUGAUGCGGGUCUGGAAGGAGAGUUUACAUUCUAACCAGACACCUAGGUAUUUGUUGUUGUCCCCGUAUUCUAAGUCAGAGCCAUCCAGAGUAGUGAUGUUGGACAGGCGGGCAGGUGCAGGCAGCAAUCGGUUGAAGAGCAUGCAUUUAGUUUUACUUGUAUUUAAGAGCAAUUGUAGGCCACGGAAGGAGAGUUGUAUGCCAUUGAAGCUUGCCUGGAGGGUUGUUAACACAGUGUCCAAAGAAGGGCCAGAAAUAUACAGAAUGGUGUCGUCUGCGUAGAGAUGGAUCAGAGACUCACCAGCAGCAAGGGCGACAUCAUUGAUGUAUACAGAGAAGAGAGUCGGUCCAAGAAUUGAACCCUGUGGCACCCCCAUAGAGACUGCCAGAGGUCCGGACAGCAGACCCUCUGAUUUGACACAUUGAACUCUAUCAGAGAAGUAGUUGGUGAUCCAGGCGAGGCAAUCAUUUGAGAAACCAAGGUUGUCGAGUCUCCCGAUGAGGAUGUGGUGAUUGAAAUGCUUGGCCAGAUCAAUGAAUAUGGCUGCACAGUAAUGUUUCUUAUCAAUGGUGGAUAAGAUCGUUUAGGACCUUGACUACACUCAAUAAGUAGGAGUAACUUACAAAGCUCUGGACAUUCUUAUUUUUUUAUGACUUGAGGAGCCUGUUAUCGGCUAUACUGGUCUGCAUUUCUGCCAUGCUGUCUAUAUUUUCAGCCAUCUCUCCUGUGCAUUUCUUGAAUGCCACUUUCAACCUCCAAGUCAUUCAGCCAACUGUCCAGGUCUACUGCCUUAAGAUCACCUUCACUGCAGUUUCUCUUCAUCACUUGGAUCAGUACCCUCACCAGCUCGCCCAUCCUCUUGACCUCCCUCGCCACGUCUUCGUCCCUCAGUCUAUCCUUCCUCCUCCCCAUCCACUUUGCAAUCCAUCCUCUACAGCAUCCCUCAUUCUUCUUCUGCCUCUUGGUUGAUGUCCUGACCAUCAUUGUGCGUCUUCAGACCUUCCUCCAGGUUGAGUUCUAUUGAGGUCAGGUUCUCUUUGAUCCUCCUCAGACUCUCCUCGUUGGUGUUGGUCCACUGUGUCUUCUUGUCCAGCUGCUGCCUGCAGGGCCGGACAGUGGGGACCACCUCCAUCUGGCGUCACACCUUCUUCAGGUCACUCACAGAGGCAGAGAGGAGGAUGUUGGGCUUGGCCACAAUAAUCUCAACAGAUAUAGGGUCAAAAGACUGAGAUGUGACACACAUACACACAAAUUUAAGAGAUGCCUACCAGUCGAUGGUCCUUCAGUGGUCCAGUGAAGGAGUUACUCAAAAAAUGUGCGUGUGUAAGUGGGGGGAGGAGACAGACCGGUCAUCAUCCUCGUCCAUUUCCCUCACUUCAAACUUUGUCACUUUUCCAUCCUCAACUUUCAGUGGUGGUGUCCUCUUUUCAUGAUCCUCAUCAUCACACUGUUUAUCAGAGUCAACAUGUCAGAGACCAUCCUCCUCACAGUAUUGUCACUCAACAGACAUGUGCAGUAGGGUGCAACUCUUUUACCUCAGAUUCACAUUCAGUGAAGGAGUAGAUGGAAAAGUCAUCAGAACUGGAGGAUGAGAUCACGUCGUGAUAUUUUCUCUCUUCAGCCGAUUCACCCUUCCAGACUGAGGAGACAGAGAAAGGAAUGUACUCAUGGCAGCCAUAGAAUACACUGGCAUUGACCCUCAAGGAAAUGUAGAAUAUGUAGGAAAUCUAACAUGGUUGUACAAGUAGUGAGUAAUACAUGGGUAACUGAAAAUGCAAUAAAUGCAACUCCCGUAACAUUAGGGGUGGGGCUAAAGAUCUUCCAUAGAAUAGGAUUCUUUAGCAUCUCGAAUGGAUGAUUGUCAAUUCAACCAAGCCAACCAAAAUGGCCAUAUGGAUCAACAGAUUGAUCUUACUGUUGUGUCUAUGGGAACAGCAGAGAUGACCUGGCUGAGAGGCUCUGGAUUGAUGCUCCAUCCGUCCCUAGAUGUCUGGUCCUGCCCACAGCUCACAAUGAUUGGCUAUUAACAGUAAAGAAUGAAUUAAACACUGCUUUUCUCAUUGCAGAAUGUAUAACUAAUGUGCAUGUGUUACUGACGGUUGGCCACAUCACAGAAUCAGGGGUGUUUACCCUCAUUGGAUUCAUCCGUCAACACAUCACUCAAUUUAAAAGGUGAUAAUAUAACAAAAACAGGACAAAACAGACGGAAGGGUAGCCUAGUGGUUAGAGCGUUGGACUAGUAACCCGGAAGGUUGCGAGUUCAAACCCCCGAGCUGACAAGGUACAAAUCUGUCGUUCUGCCCCUGAACAGGCAGUUAACCCACUGUUCCCAGGCUGUCAUUGAAAAUAAGAAUUUGUUCUUAACUGACUUGCCUGGUUAAAUAAAGGUAAAAUAUAAAUAAAAAAAUGUACCACAUAAGGGCUGCAUGUUAAAGCUCUUUUGAUUCUCUCAUUAUUACGAUCCAUUGCUUUCUGGGGGAAACAUUUCCAUCAAUAUUGUAUGUAUAUAUAAUAUAUAUGUGUGAGUGUGUAUAUACACAGAUUUGGAUAACAUUAACUUAAGAGACCACUGCAAAAUGAUCCGUUUCUCUGGGUUUACUAUUUAUAGGUAUGUGUUUGGGUAAAAUGAACAUUUUUGUUUUCUAUAAACUACUGACAUUUCUCCCAAAUUCCAAAUGAAAUUAUUGUCAUUUAGAGCAUUUAUUUGCAGAAAAUUACAACUGAUCAAAAUAACAAAAACAGAUGCGGACCAGAUGCGGAUGUCAGACCUCUAAUAAUACUAAUAUUUUAACUUAGGAAGAGUUCUGAAAUCAUUAUUUGGUGGAAUAACCCUGAUUUUCAAUCACAGCUUUCAUGCGUCUUGGCCACCAGUCUUUUUCGUUGGUGUUGGGUGACUUUAUGCCAUCCUGGCUCAAAAAUUCAAGCAGCUUGGCUUUGUUUGAUGGCUUGUGACCAUCCAUCUUCCUCACAUUCCAGAAGUUUAAUGGGGUUCAAGUCUGGAGACUGGGCUGGCCAUGACAAGGUCUUGAUCUGGUGGUCCUCCAUCUUGAUUGACUUGACUGUGUCACAUUGUCCUACUGGAAAAAACAAUCCUCAGAGUUGGUGAACAUUGUCAGAGCAGAAGGAAGCAAGUUUUCUUCCAGGACAACCUUGUAAGUGGCUUGAUUCAUGCGUCCUUCACAAAGAUAAAUCUGCCCGAUUCCAUCCUCCACCAAAUUUCACAGCGGGUGCGAGACACUGGCUUGUAGGCCUUUGUCAAACCAUUAGACGACCAGGUGUUGGGCAAAGCUGAAAGUUGGACUCAUCGGAGAAGAUGACCUUACUCCAGUCCUCUACUAUUGUCUUUUGAAAACCUCAGCCUGGCUUUGCUUCUCAUUGAUGAAGGGCUUUUUUCUAGCUUUGCACAACUUCAGCCCUGCCCCUAGGAGCCUGUUUCAAACCAUCCUCACCGUGCACUUGGACUGGGAUUUGAUCUUGAAACCUUUUGGUUACUAGUCCAACGCUCUAACCACUAGGCUACCUGCCACCCCAAUGAACUGCUGUCUUUGAAAUGUUAAGGAUGGAAGCAUCCUGUAUCCCUCUGCCAGUAAAGCCCUUCUUUCCCUCACUCAAAAUGUUCCUUUUGAAGUCUUCUGGCAUGGUUAAUAGUUAUUUUUGGAUUCCAAUUACUUUUGAGGUACUACUAGCACUGAUUUAAACAUCCAGCAGGUCCUAUUGCAAGAGGAUAGUGAUGACCACAGCAGUGGUUUUUAUACUUUUCCUCGUUAAAUAAGAUUUGGUUCAGGUGAUCACCUAAUCAGUACCCCAUUCAGUAGAAUGAGGUGUGCCUGUGUUGGAAAUCAACAGACACUGGAAUGGAAUUUCUGCCAUACAUGUAGAGAUGCUGAUUACAGAAACAUUUGUUAAUUAUUUCCAGAGCUCUGAGUGUAUGUGGUACCCUGUAUACAGGUUGGGAAGGCUGUGCACCAAAGGCCAAUGGUUACCUGCAACAACCUGAGUGAGAAGAAAGAGAUUAUACAGUUGAAAUCAAAUCUGAACACAGUGCAUGUAGGGAAUUAAUGCUUGGUUACGUCAGAAUACGUCACAGCUUUAUGACUGCGCAUAAUACAUCGCAAGAGAAAGGCUUGUUUGGAGCCUAACUAGUGGUAUUGUCUUCUCACUGGUUGUAGCUAGCUGAAUAACGAAAGUGAUGUACAUAUUUCCUACUGACUGAGUAAUGGUUGUAUCGAUGGUUGGUUGGAUGUUUUUUUUUUUUACAUAGAUAGGCUAACAGGAUAUCAAUAGAAAGAAACCAUUCCGUGCCCCCCAAAAAAUAAUUUUGCACUUUGAGUAACAACCACUAAGGGACCACAAUGGAAUUCGUUGAUUUUAUUGCGUUGUCCCUGACACGUUUUAUUUUAUUAAACAGUUUUUUUUUUUUUUACUAAACUCAAAUAUAUCUAUCUCACUUUCUAUCUAACUCAAGUGGACUGUUGAGAACUCUGAUCAUCACAUUUCAGGCACAAGCCAGCAGGUGGCAGUGUCUUUAAAUGCAGCACUGCCUUAGUGCACUUCAUGAUCUGCGCAUCAAAUUUGGUUGUGAACGUGAUUAAUAAAAAUGCGGAAAUACAUUACAUUUGCUUUGGUUUAGCAAUCUAUCUACCCUGUCUUAGUUAAAGUGUUGUGCAAUAGUGGAGGACAGGUGUCGUAACUGACAUUUUUGUAUUGUGCUUGAUUAUCCACUGGUAUUAGUUUGACAUAUGUACUGAGCAUCAAAAAUCAGUUUUGAAAGAUGUGGUGGAAGAAUUUGGGGUGAGCUGUUGUAAACUUCUCAAGGGAUAUGUUCUGUGUUGGACUGUGAUGUUAUGUGUUUCAUAGACUACUGGUAUGUCUGCGUCGUAACACAAGGCCAUUGUGUUCCGGAACUAUUGAUUUAUAGAAGAAAUUGUUGUGUGAAUACAAUAUGAUUGUAUUAUCACCUCUCACUAUAUAAGGGACAUGUAACCAUUUCAUCCUUGCUGUGAAAUUAGAGGUGGCUCUCCUCUGCAGCUGCUUGUAUUAAAUAUGUUUAUUACAUUGUUAAAUAUAGGAUUAUCACCACAGCAAGCAAAGUACUUUAAGGUCAGGGCCCUCUGCAAGUCUCACAAAAUCAUUUUAGACCCAAGCCACCCCUUGUACCCGGACUUUGAACUACUCCCCACUGGGCACAGGUAUAGGGCACCCCUCAGCAAGAAAAACAGAACUAGACCAUCAUUUGUGCCAGGUGUGAUAUCCCUCCUAAAUAGCUCGGGCUGAUGUUCCUAUCGAAUCAGUAAGGCCAGCAGGCUAGUCAUUUUUUACAUGUUUUAUUGGUAUGUAACUGUUAUGAAAGUUGUAUUGUAAAUUUUGUUUUGUAUUUAAACGCCACUUUAAACGUGUACAUGGCACUGCAACAAAAUUUCCCCAUGGGGACAAUAAAGUCAGUAAGUAA